GGAAGGAUCAUUAACACGUGAAAACGUAUUAAUUUACCUUGACCAACCCCCCGUGAAUUUCACAUCCCUAUUCAACUGACGCUGUACCAUAUGAUAUGUAGUAGGAUAUGAUUUCGGUCAUAUGCAAUUGUAUGGUUACUAAGGCUUCGAGCCUAAGGUGACUUUUUGUUAGGCUUAUUUUUUCCCCUACUACAAAAAACCAAACCAACCUAUUUCACCAAUUAACAACAUUUUGACUGAUGUACGUUGAUAGUACAGAAAUGUACUGGAUCAACACCAUUUAUCUAAACUAAGCACAACUCUUAGCAAUGGAUAUCUUGGUUCUCGCAACGAUGAAGAACGCAGCGAAAUGCGAUAUGUAAUGCGAAUUGCAGAAUUCAGUGAAUCAUCAAAUCUUUGAACGCAAAUGGCGCUCUCGGGAUAGACCUGGGAGCACGCCUCUCUGAGUAUCGGUUCAACCAUCACUCGUCUGCGUACUGUAAAAGGUAUGCAUGUACGGAAAAUGAGAGUCCAAGCUGAACAGCUUCGUCUCUUGAAAUGUAUUGAGCUUCAAUCUCCUAGUACUGUGUUAUUCGGAACACUAGCCUAUGUGGCUUUUAUUCAACUAGUGACGUGGAUAACAUCACGUAGUGAUACGAAACGUCGCAGCUAGUUGCAUAAUACAACCAGUUACAUAGUGUGAAACGAUUAGUAGCAUUGAAUGCGUUUGAAUUGAUCCCGUAACAAAAGUAUACUUGUAUACGAUUGAUACGUAUUGACAUUAGAUCUCAGAUGAAGCGAGAAGACCCCCUGAAUUUAAGCAUAUUAAUAAGGGGAGGAAAAGAAACUAACAAGGAUUCCCCCAGUAACGGCGAGUGAAGCGGGAUGAGCUCAAUAUGAAAAUCGUGAACCCAGGCGGGUUUUCGAAUUGUAGCCUAGAGACGUGUGAUCAGCGAUAGCCCAGGUAUAAGUCCUUUGGAAGAAGGCAUCAGCGAGGGUGAGAAUCCCGUGUUUGACCUGGAGUCUGUCGCGUACGAUGCAUGUUCAUCGAGUCGAGUUGUUUGGGAUUGCAGCUCUAAAUGGGUGGUAAGUUUCAUCUAAAGCUAAAUAUUGGCGAGAGACCGAUAGCGAACAAGUACCGUGAGGGAAAGAUGAAAAGAACUUUGAAAAGAGAGUUAAAUCAGUACUUGAAAUUGCUAAGAGGGAACGGCUGAACACCAGUGCUGCUGGUUGUCAUUUUUGCUAUGAAUCAAUCAACAUGAUGUGUCGAGUUGGUAACUCUCGUAGCGUCAUGCAGAAGUUGGUUUGUAGUACUGUGGCGAUUGGCGUGUCAGAAUCGGUUCGAUGUGUGGGAGAAGGCGUGUAGGAAGGUAGGGUGUCUCGGCACCUGUUAUAGCCUAUGCGUUCUACCAUGUGUUGGACCGAGGAAUCAUGUUGCGCCUGCUGGCUUGGAACGUUGCUCCGGGUGUGUAUACAGUGCGUGGAUAACAAUGUUAUGCUGUGCUGUAUAUGUGUUCUUGAGUGGCUGCUUUCAUAUGCAACAUCGAGAUUCUGACGAAAUGGUUUUCAUCCACCCGUCUUGAAACACGGACCAAGGAGUCUAACAUAUAUGCGAGUAUUUGGGUGGUAAACCCUGGUGCGUAAUGAAGUAAAGGUAGCUUCGGCUGCUGAGGUAGGAAUCUGGAAACAGAGGCACUAUCGACCGAUCAUCACUUGUGAAAGAUUUGAGUAAGAGCAUAUCUGUUGGGACCCGAAAGAUGGUGAUCUAUGCCUGAACAGGGUGAAGCCAGGGGAAACUCUGGUGGAAGCUCGUAGCGAUACUGACGUGCAAAUCGUUCGUCUGAUUUGGGUAUAGGGCGAAAGACUAAUCGAACCAUCUAGUAGCUGGUUCCCUC
rnacentral:misc_RNA from 1 species